CCUGGUGGCUAUAGCGGAGGGGGUACACCUCUUCCCAUUCCGAACAGAGAAGUUAAGCCCUCCAGCGCCGAUGGUACUGCUUGGGUAGCCUUGUGGGAGAGUAGGUCGCUGCCGGGA
rnacentral:rRNA from 2 species